rnacentral:tRNA from 1 species
GGGCAGGUGGCGGAAUUGCAUACCCGCGAGUAAGGUGUACUUCCUUCUCGCAGGUACCUGGCGCAGUAUAAUGCGCCGGGUACGCGUACGGCUCAGAACCGUAUGGCCGCAAGGCUGUGAGGGUUCCCUGCCCGCCGUAGGAGGGAAGUCCCUCCCCGCCCA